CCUACGGGAGGCAGCAGUAGGGAGUUUUCGGCAAUGGGGGAAACCCUGACCGAGCAACGCCGCGUGAACGAUGAAGGUCUUCGGAUCGUAAAGUUCUGUUAUAGUUAGGGAAAGCCUGGAAGAGUGGAAUGCUUUCAGUUUGACCCAGCUAUCAGAAAGCCUCGGCUAACUACGUGCCAGCAGCCGCGGUAAU
rnacentral:rRNA from 1 species